AUUGAACGCUGGCGGCAGGCCUAACACAUGCAAGUCGAGCGGAUGAAGGGAGCUUGCUCCUGGAUUCAGCGGCGGACGGGUGAGUAAUGCCUAGGAAUCUGCCUGGUAGUGGGGGAUAACGUCCGGAAACGGGCGCUAAUACCGCAUACGUCCUGAGGGAGAAAGUGGGGGAUCUUCGGACCUCACGCUAUCAGAUGAGCCUAGGUCGGAUUAGCUAGUUGGUGGGGUAAAGGCCUACCAAGGCGACGAUCCGUAACUGGUCUGAGAGGAUGAUCAGUCACAUGGGAACGGGAACCCGGUCCAGACUCCUACGGGAGGCAGCAGUGGGGAAUUUUGGACAGUGGGCGAAAGCCUUACCCAGCCAUGCCGGGUGUGUGAAGAAGGUCUUCGGAUUGUAAAGCACUUUAAGUUGGGAGGAAGGGCAGUAAUUUAAUACCUUGCUGUUUUGACGUUACCAACAGAAUAAGCACCGGCUAACUUCGU
rnacentral:rRNA from 1 species